rnacentral:rRNA from 1 species
GAUGAACGCUGGCGGCGUGCCUAAUACAUGCAAGUCGAGCGAACGGACGAGAAGCUUGCUUCUCUGUUGUUUGCGGCGGACGGGUGAGUAACACGUGGAAAACCUACCUAUAAGACUGGGAUAACUUCGGGACACCGGAGCUAAUCCCGGAUAAUCUUUUGAACCGUAUGGUUCAAUAGUGAAAGACGGUCUUGCUGUCACUUAUAGAUGGAUCCGCGCUGCAUUAGCUAGUUGGUAAGGUAACGGCUUACCAAGGCAACGAUGCAUAGCCGACCUGAGAGGCUGAUCGGCGGCACGGGAACUGAGACGGGGUCCAGACUCCUACGAGAGGGAGCAGUAGGGAAUCGUCGGCAAUAGGCGAAAGCCUGACGGAGCAACGCCGCGUGAGAGAUGAAGGUCUUCGGAUCGUAAAGAUCUGUUAUUAGGGGAGAACAGAUGUGUAAGGAACUGUGCACAUCGUGACGGUACCUAAUCAGAAAGCAACGGCUAACUACGUG